CUACGGGCGGCUGCAGUGAGGAAUAUUGCACAAUGGGGGGAACCCUGAUGCAGCAACGCCGCGUGGAGGAUGACGCAUUUCGGUGUGUAAACUCCUUUUAUAUGUCAAGAAAGUGACGGUAGCAUAUGAAUAAGCACCGGCUAACUCCGUGCCAGCAGCCGCGGUAAUACGGAGGGUGCAAGCGUUACUCGGAAUCACUGGGCGUAAAGGACGCGUAGGCGGGUUGGAAAGUCAGGUGUGAAAUCCUACAGCUUAACUGUAGAGCUGCACUUGAAACUUCUAAUCUAGAGUAUGGGAGGGGGAGAUGGAAUUAGUGGUGUAGGGGUAAAAUCCGUAGAUAUCACUAGGAAUACCUAAAGCGAAGGCGAUCUCCUGGAACAUUACUGACGCUAAGGCGUGAAAGCGUGGGGAGCAAACAGGAUUAGAUACCCCAGUAGUC
rnacentral:rRNA from 1 species